CCCUCUGCACCUGACUAGCAACAACACACCCUGAAGUCUCAGCCUAGACAAGGAUUCUGCAGCCCCUCCUGAUGUGCAGAGACAGGACUGGCACACCCUCAUCCCCCACCCCAUACCCACAAGCUCUGCAGUGCCAGUCUCCCUUUACAUGGCACUCACUGCUCACGGCAGUGACCAGCACUCUGGCCAGUGUCAGCACUACCACUGAUCGCCAUUGCUCCCCUGUGAGUCCUCGGCAGAGUGGUGCACCUCCCAGAGUUGAUGGGACAUGGUAGGUCAUUCAUAAUUCAUUGCAAGUGCAUCUUCAGAUACUGGAGGAAAAAGCAGCACUGCCCAGGCUUUUCUACAACAUGCACAAAGUGUUUCCUGUUGACCAAGUACAAGAGGAGGUACGAGAAUGGAAGGAGUAAGUGUGGGUUGUGUGUGCAUUUACACACCUGUGCACAGGUGGACAGUCCAUACAGUCACAGACCCCAGACCUUAACAAAAUCAGUGUAGGCUGAAAUAAAGCAGGAUCACAGGCAUAUGCAAUCUCACAUUAAUCUCAGUGAAUGUUCAAAGCCAGAGUUGCAUGGGCACCCUGGCAUUCUUAGGACAAGGAGCUGAGUGUCGUAGGGUGCAUGGCGGCUCAGAGCCCAGAACUGGUAAGGUUUACCCUACGUCUGGGAAAUCUGAGGAGCACAGAGGAAGGAGGUUUACCCAGAGGUGCUGUGUCAUUUGGCAAACCCCCAAGGGUAUUCAAAGCGUGCUCUACAAUCGCAUGGCUAAGACACCACAGGUGACCGGGUUGUAAUUGGUUAUGUGUCCCUCUCCACACUGGAGCCUGGAACUCUUCCGGAGCAACAAACAGCCUUGUCUGCUGACGCCUCCACACUCAUGGCACUGAGCACAAGGUUCACCCAGGACCAUGCCUGUAUGGAUGUGUUGGAUGGCAAGACCUGAGUGAACCUGCUGAGCUGUUUUUGUGCAAG
rnacentral:lncRNA from 1 species